rnacentral:rRNA from 1 species
CGAAAGGCUCAUUAAAUCAGUUAUGGUUCCUUAGAUCGUACACACAUUUACUUGGAUAACUGUGGUAAUUCUAGAGCUAAUACAUGCAAACAGAGCUCCGACCGGAGACGGAAGGAGCGCUUUUAUUAGAUCAAAACCAAACGGCGGCGGGUCCGCUCGUCGUCGUACAUUUUGGUGACUCUGAAUAACUUAUUGCUGAUCGCACGGUCCAGCACCGGCGACGCAUCUUUCAAAUGUCUGCCUUAUCAACUGUCGAUGGUAGGUUCUGCGCCUACCAUGGUUGUAACGGGUAACGGGGAAUCAGGGUUCGAUUCCGGAGAGGGAGCCUGAGAAACGGCUACCACAUCCAAGGAAGGCAGCAGGCGCGCAAAUUACCCACUCCCGGCACGGGGAGGUAGUGACGAAAAAUAACGAUACGGGACUCAUCCGAGGCCCCGUAAUCGGAAUGAGUACACUCUAAACUCUUUAACGAGGAUCAAUUGGAGGGCAAGUCUGGUGCCAGCAGCCGCGGUAAUUCCAGCUCCAAUAGCGUAUAUUAAAGUUGUUGCGGUUAAAAAGCUCGUAGUCGAAUCUGUGUCUCGCGCCGCCGGUUCAUCGCUCGCGGUGUUAACUGGCGUGUCCGCGAGACGUCCUGCCGGUGGGCUUAGCUCGGUUCUCGGGCGGUCCAACUUGAAAUCCCACCGCGGUGCUCUUGACUGAGUGUCGAGGUGGGCCGGCACUUUUACUUUGAACAAAUUAGAGUGCUUAAAGCAGGCUAAAACUUCGCCUGAAUAUUCUGUGCAUGGAAUAAUGGAAUAGGACCUCGGUUCUAUUUUGUUGGUUUUAGGAACAACGAGGUAAUGAUUAAUAGGGACGGAUGGGGGCAUUCGUAUUGCGACGUUAGAGGUGAAAUUCUUGGAUCGUCGCAAGACGGACAGAAGCGAAAGCAUUUGCCAAAAACGCUUUCAUUGAUCAAGAACGAAAGUUAGAGGUUCGAAGGCGAUCAGAUACCGCCCUAGUUCUAACCAUAAACGAUGCCAGCUAGCGAUCCGCCGAUGUUCCUCCGAUGACUCGACGGGCAGCUUCCGGGAAA